rnacentral:misc_RNA from 1 species
UACGGAGAAGGCAAGCGUUACCCGGAAUUAUUGGGCGUAAAGCGCGCGCAGGCGGUUUCUUAAGUCUGAUGUGAAAGCCAACGGCUUAACCGUGGAGGGUCAUUGGAAACUGGGGAACUUGAGUACAGAAGAGGAGAGUGGAAUUCCACGUGUAGCGGUCAAAUGCGUAGAUAUGUGGAGGAACACCAGUGGCGAAGGCGACUCUCUGGUCUGUAACUGACGCUGAGGCGCGAAAGCGUGGGGAGCGAACAGG